AUGAGUCCAGAUAUUCUGUGCCCUUUACCAAAAGGACACACUGUGUCCGCCGCAGCUGAUUCUGGAGGAAGAGGGGCUCACUCGCAUCGCUCAGACCGUUCAGGCGCUUUUGGAGUUGCCCACGUCAGGUGCCCGUCGCUCAUCCCGUCAGGACCCCUCAGGGCUUCCUCUUCAAUCCACGACUCAAAAUCAAGAUGCCACCUCCUAGUGAUCAAGUCAUUAUUUCCAGCACAUUUCAGUUGCAUGAUGUAUUAUUAUUUUUUUUUUUUUUAUGUUAGAAUUUUUGAUCAGGAGCCAUCAUGUAAUAAUACCAGCUUGUCACAAUGUUGCCUGUUACAAUGCAUGUACAGAGGAGUUUAUGUAAAUUGCUAGCACAAAUUCUUUGUGACUAUUGAAACCGACGAAAUGAAGGACAAUAAAGCAAAUUUAACUUAAAACUUCUUGUCUGUUGCAUAUUUAUGCAGAAUAUAUGAUACAUGAUGCAAGACGUUCCCUAAAUGAGCCUCGUUACUGAGGUAGUUGGCCGUUCUUGUGUCGUCAUUUUGUUGGUGCUUCCUCAUAAUUGAAAAUUAAUUACGUUUGUAAUCUCAGCUUUAUUACAAUGCAAAUUUAAUUGGUUUUUCACAGGUAAUUACUCUUGCGGAGCGGCAAAGGUGGCAGUAAACCUAUGAUAAGCUUACAACAGCUCUUGGGCUCCGAUUGUGACAUUUUGUGCAGAUUUGGAGUGUCGGACAAACAAUGUGGCUCCCUAUAGCUCUGCCACUGCACCUUUAUUUAGCAGUAGCUGUGUGUCAAAUGAUCUGUUUAAUUUGUUGUGAAUUAAAAAGUGGUUUAUUAAGAGUGUUACUAAAAAGCUGAAACAACCUUUCAACCUCUUUGUUUUAUUUCAAACCAGUGACUGGAAUAAAAAUGUGAGAAAAUGAAUCUCCACCUUACACAGUUGGGAAUAAAGUGAGUUGAUUAUCUGGCUCAUUAUAUUAAACAAAGCCUAAAAACCUAAAUUGCUUAAAUAGCGUGAUUCAGCAGCUCAGUCCACAGGACUUCAGUGGGAAGCGGUCUGGAUUCUGGCGUGACUCUGAAACACUGAAUUUCUUGUAUUUGAGUCAUUAUGUUUUGUGUAACUACCAUGAUUCAUGACUCAUUCGGUCUCACUUCUGAUGUUGAAUUUCUUAGUAUAGUUUGAUAAUUGAUUGGUCUCUCAGUUUCUGCACACCAUUCAGACCCUGAAACAGCAAAACAACCCGCAGCAUCAUAUCUUUCCAUUAGCAUUACAUCACAGCUGGGAUGAGGUUUAGCUUUUAGUACACAGUGUUCUGUUUUCAGGAAGAUACUGUUAACAUCCAACAAAAGGCUAGCAUCUGACUAAUUUUGGCUGUUUCUGACAAGUGACAGUGUAUAUGCUAUUAAGAUGUCAGGCUUUGUCAUCAACAACAAAUGUAUAGAUUUUCAUCCCUUUUUAAAGAUGUUUUUGUUAUCACAACUCUGUAUGUAUGUGAUUAGUUGCAUAUUAUUUGCAUAUAGCCUUUUUUUCUUCCCUGCUAUCCUCAAACCUGUCAGACCUUCAGCCCACUAGCUGAGAUGCACUGAUCUAAAUGAACAUUAUGCCUAUUAACUAUCUUCAAGGGACUGUGAGUAAGAGCAUGAAUACCAACCUACAGAUCCUUGAUUUUCUGUGCUAUUUUUACAGUGGUAAUCAAACUGUGGAAAGCAGCUAAUUUACUCUGUAGGAGAUCACUAAAUCUGCACUAUGGGGAAGACUACCGGGGCUAGUUGUCACAAUUUACUUAAGUGAGUUUUUCUCAGGGUAGAGUUUUAGAAGGUCAUUCUCUGUAUAGACAUAUCUAAAGUCUAGAAAAAGCUAUUGAACGUUUCUACCGCUGUUGCUCAGGAAAAAAAGCUGGUUCAGUGAAUGCAUAAACCGGCUGUUUAUUGAUAUUCUUAUUGACUGCAUAGAGAAGACAGAUUUUUUACUAUGUCAUAGGCCUGUAAAUACUUUGCAUUUCUAUAGCUUUCCACAAAAUUUAAAAUGCAAAAACAGACAAGGUAACAAAAAAUAAAUUACAUAAUAAUAAUAAAUUGAUAAGUGUUCAGAAUUUGACAACCAAAGUGUCACUUUGUUUCUGAAAUAUCUUACAGAAGUUUUCUCCUCGCUCUCCAUGAGAUGAUAACAUAUCUAUUAACAUUUACGUUUCACUUGUGAGUGGUAUUUCACUUGUUUAGCUUUAAUGAUGAUUCAUUUUCACCAAAUAUUGUAUGUUGCCUAAUUCAAAAAUGGGUGCUGAAUAGUUGUUUUUUUUUUAAAUACUUUGUACUGUAUUACGCCAAAUGGACUUUCCAAUGCUGUUAUACUUGGUUUCUUAAAAGGAAAUGGCAUCUUAAUAAAUGUAGGGUGCAAUGAGACUAAAAGCUUUAUGACCAGAGGUAAUAAACUUUGUUCAUUAAUAAAUAGAUAUGCUGAGAAAAUAC
rnacentral:lncRNA from 1 species